UUUAGCUCAGCGGUAUAAGCGCCUACCUGGCAAGUAGGAGGUUGUGAGUUCGAUCCCCGUAA
rnacentral:tRNA from 1 species